UACGUAGGGUGCAAGCAUUGUCCGGAUUUAUUGGGCGUAAAGAGCUCGUAGGCGGCUUGUCACGUCGGGUGUGAAAGCUCGGGGCUCAACCCCGAGCCUGCACUCGAUACGGGCUAGCUAGAGUGUUGCAGGGGAGACUGGAAUUCCUGGUGUAGCGGUGAAAUGCGCAGAUAUCAGGAGGAACACCGGUGGCGAAGGCGGGUCUCUGGGCAACUACUGACGCUGAGGAGCGAAAGCGUGGGGAGCGAACAGG
rnacentral:rRNA from 1 species